CCCGGCCUGACGCGGCCCCACGCGCCAUCUCCAGCUGUUAUGUUCACCUUCCUACUUGCCCUGCGGCCUCUCCUGUAGCUCUGCAGCUGCUGCCCUCCAGGAAGCCCUCCUGCCGCAGAACGGCAGGGACCCCAGGACCCAGCCUGGCCCCUAGUGGCCUUCGCCUGGGAUGGAGAACCUGGGGAGCUGGAAGGAAACCCUGACUGCUGGGCUGAGCUGCCCUUGGCCCCGGGCAGGGGAAGGUGACACUCUGGAGGAGGGCCCAGUGCCCUGGCCUGGACAAGCCAGGGACAGAAGAGGCUGUAGGCCAGCUUUACGGCACCCUGAUGGAAAGGACUGUGCAGCCCACGUGCAGACGGGGGCUGGCAUGGCCCAGCAUGGAGAUCACGGCGGCGGCGGGGCUGAGCGAAUGAGGCGGCCGGGACUCCUGGGCUCUGUAUGUACCUAGAGGCGUGAUGACCUUGCUUCUGCCGGUCGGCACUCAGACACAGAGGCCGCAGUGGGGGUGGGCAGCUUAACAGCCUUGCUUCUGUGUGUUAAGGACCCACUGCCAUGUCCAUAAACACCCCAGAUUGGCCCCCUGGAAGCCGACUCCCAUCUCCGGGUCCCAGAACCCAAUGGGAAAAAUCCCCCUUCCCUUCUGAUUUGUGGCUCCAAGCGCUGGGGGCUUGGAAACAGAAUUCCAUGCACAGGAAGAGAUAAAAGGGCCUGGAGCAGAACUCAGACUCAGAGCGGGAGGGGCAGGAACUCGGAGCAUCAGGUGUUCCUCCUGUGCUUGGGGUGAGGACCGCGUGAGUCACCGCACAGAAAGGACUUGCAGGAGGGCCUGCCCGGCGUGUGGCCAGUUCACGAACUAGCGGAGAAGCAGAACAUCUUUCUGGAAGCGAGGGGAGGCUCUGGGGCUCCCCGUGCCAGGAGUUCUGUGUCCUCCACACCUGCCCUCCUCAAAGGAUGCCGGGACCAAGUGUGUGCAGCUCUAGCUGUAAACCACCACCCCCUGGGGCCCCCCCGUCCGCGUGCUCCUUUGUGCCCUACAAGCGCGGGGAGCUUCCUCCCCCGAGCUGCCGCCGGCUGCCAGGAGUCACUUGGCUUGAUUUGGUGGUGGGGGGGGGGGGGAGGGCGGCGAAGAAUGGGGUGUUUCUGGCUCUCUGUCCUGAUUCCUUGCUGUGUGGAUUCUGGCCAACGAUCCCCGAACUUUCCCCAGCCCGUGAUUCAGUGCCAAGGACAGAGCUGGCGUUUGACUCCCGUCAGCUCCCGGGGUCAGGCGUUCACUCCUCUCCCGGGGGACGGAGAGCGCGAGCAGACUCUCUCGAGGCCUGAGGUCAGGGCUGGGAGAGCCCUGGGCAAGUACAUCCAAAGCUGUCCCUCAUUUGGAAAACGAGUCUUUCGUAGCCCAGAACUAAGCUCUGCUGGAGCCUGUGUCCCUCUCAUAGGGAGAGGCCUGGCAGCCUCGGAGCAUGAGGGCCAGGUGGUCCUGGAGUCACAGGCUUCUGACGGGAAGGUUGAGCCCUGAGCAGUCAGGGGCUUGUCCCUGCAGUGACUCUGACCCCGUGUCUCCGCUCAGCCCACUGGUCUGGGGAGGCCAGCAUCUCUGCGCUCGGUGAGACCUGUGCGCCUGCUCUGGGGUCCUCCUGUGCCUCCGGUCACUCUCUGGGGCCCAUCCUGUGAGACCCGCAAACGUACCACAGUGCCGCUGGCCUCGCAUGCCCCGAGCAGGCCUCAGUGCGUGGAAGCCCAGUUAGCGCCGUUGACAUGGGGCAUCUCCACAGCCAGAGCCACCAGGGCCUCGGACACCGGGCUUUGCCAGAGAGGACGCAGUCACGGAAUGGCUGCUGGGCAGCUCUGACUCUGGCCUUGCUGUCCGCGGUGCUCCCGUGGGCCUCCCUCCCCUUCAGACCUGGGCGUGGGAGGGGCGGGGGGAGGCAUCGCAGCUGGGGGUCCCUGUCUCUUCCCUACCCUGCGUCACAGACGCAACUGUGGGUUCGGCAGCGCUGCUGCAGAGCGGGAGUUGGGAUGAAAUCAACUGUUUUCCCCGAGUCUUGGAGGGAGGACAGCAGGGCAAUUUCAGGAGCCCCGUGCUAUUGUUUCCCGGGGGGGUGGGGAGGGGGAUGCACUGAGAUGCUGCGUCAGGGGCCACGACCCUCUGCACCUCAGGGCGCACAAGGAUGCUGUGCGCGCGGGAGCCCAGGAAGGCGGACCGGACGGCGCCCCACGUCACACGUGGCUGCGCGUUCAAGGUUGUGCGGCAGGAGGAAGAGCCUGAGGACAGCACAGGACAGUGCUCCCAGAGAUCGCAGGAGGCGCCCGAGAAAGAAUAUAGCAGUUAACCGUGAGGAACGCUAGAGGCGCCUGUGCAGGGGAGCAAGGGCGACGCGGGACAGGGUCUGGUAAGCCGCCACGUGUGUUUCCAAAAACAGACCCGACCGCUAUGCCCGGACACACCCAGAGCAGCCCCAGAGGCCACGCAGCAGAGGGGUACGAGGUGGCUGGAGCUGGGGGACCAUGCGCAUGUUUCCA